AUCAUUAUUGAUUUUAAUGAAUGGGGUUGCUGCUGGUCCUUGAGAGGGGGCAUGUGCACGCUUCACUUCAUCCAAUCUUUACACCUCUGUGCACUUCUCAUAGGCUGGGAUGGUAUCAUGAAUCUGCCCUUGAAUUUGGGGCAGCAGAGUGAAUUCUGGCCUAUGUGCUUUUUUGCAAUACACUUGUUUGUUACAGAAUGUCAAUAUUGCAUAUGAAAAAAUAUACAACUUUCAGCAACGGAUCUCUUGGCUCUCGCAUCGAUGAAGAACGCAGCGAAAUGCGAUAAGUAAUGUGAAUUGCAGAAUUCAGUGAAUCAUCGAAUCUUUGAACGCACCUUGCGCUCCUUGGUAUUCCGAGGAGCAUGCCUGUUUGAGUGUCAUGGUAUUCUCACUUUUUAUCAUUGUGUUUUGCACAAUUUUAAAGUGGAUGUGGAGGUUCUUUUUGCUGGCUCUGUAGAGUUUCAUUUAUUCUGCAAAGCUUGCUCCUCUCAAAUGCAUUAGCUUGAAUAUUACCAAGCAUAACUCAGCGUGAUAAUUGUCUGCGUUGUGUGUGCUUCUGGUGCUUUAUAAUGUUCUAGCUUCCAAUUGUCUUUUUUUGUUGAGACAGCAUCAUGAGUGAUCAUGAACAUCUGACCUCCAAUCAGGUAGGACUACCCGCUGAACUUAAGCAUAUCAAUAAGCGGAGGAAAAGAAACUAACAAGGAUUCCCCUAGUAACUGCGAGUGAAGCGGGAAAAGCUCAAAUUUAAAAUCUGGCAGCUUUGGCUGUCCGAGUUGUAGUCUGGAGAAGCGUUUUCUGUGUUGGACCAUGUACAAGUCUCUUGGAACAGAGCGUCAUAGAGGGUGAGAAUCCCGUCUUUGACAUGGACUGCCAAUGCUUUGUGAUGCGCUCUCAAAGAGUCGAGUUGUUUGGGAAUGCAGCUCAAAAUGGGUGGUAAAUUCCAUCUAAAGCUAAAUAUUGGCGAGAGACCGAUAGCGAACAAGUACCGUGAGGGAAAGAUGAAAAGCACUUUGGAAAGAGAGUUAAACAGUACGUGAAAUUGCUGAAAGGGAAACGCUUGAAGUCAGUCGCAUGGGCCAGAACUCAGCCUGGCUUUUGUCAGGUGCAUUUUUUGGUUUAUGGGCCAGCAUCAAUUUUGACCGCUGGAGAAAGGCCUUGGGAAGGUGGCACCUUUGGGUGUGUUAUAGCCCCUGGUUGCAUACAGUGGUUGGGAUUGAGGAUCUCAGCAUGCCUUUAUGGUCGGGAUUUAUUCCACGUUUCAUGCUUAGGAUGCUGGCGUAAUGGCUUUAAGCGACCCGUCUUGAAACACGGA
rnacentral:rRNA from 1 species